AAUAGACAGCAACAAGUUACUAGAAGGGCUAGACACGUCCCUUAGAGGCUAUGAUGCAUGGAAACCGCAUGCGGGGGCGUUUCCCUGUGUCGAAAAUGUGAAGAUGCGCUGGCGGAACGUUUUCCGGCCGUUUCCGUAAAUUUUGAGAAUCGGAAAGUUUCAUGGAGCGGACAAGCGUUUCUUUAAUUUAAAAAAUUAAAAAAACUCGGUUCAUCUAUUCUUUUGACUCAUGCCGCAUCAGAUCAUAAGAAGAAGAUUACUUACUUGGUGAUGACAGACGGCAGCGACGACAGCGACGUAGCGCAGGUGAGUACUUCCCGUCCAAUGCUCUGCUUCCUUUUAGAUCCCAUUCCCAUCCCAUGCUAUGGGACUACCUCCUUCUUUAAGAUCCCAUGUUCUGCUUCCUUUUAGAUCCCAUUUCCAUCCAUGCUCUGCGACUGCCUCCUUCUUUAAGAUCCCAUGUUCUGCUUCCUUUUAGAUCCCAUUUCCAUCCAUGCUCUGCGACUG
rnacentral:misc_RNA from 1 species